UACGAAGGGGGCUAGCGUUGCUCGGAAUCACUGGGCGUAAAGGGUGCGUAGGCGGGGCUUUAAGUCAGGGGUGAAAUCCUGGAGCUCAACUCCAGAACUGCCUUUGAUACUGAGGAUCUUGAGUCCGGGAGAGGUGAGUGGAACUGCGAGUGUAGAGGUGAAAUUCGUAGAUAUUCGCAAGAACACCAGUGGCGAAGGCGGCUCACUGGCCCGAUACUGACGCUGAGGCACGAAAGCGUGGGGAGCAAACAGG
rnacentral:rRNA from 1 species